GUGCUAGCUUCGGCAGCACAUACAGUAAAAUUGGAGAGAAGAUUAGCAUGGCCUCUGUGCAAGGAUGACAUGCAGAUUUGUGAAGCGUUCUAUAUUUUU
ensembl:snRNA U6 U6 spliceosomal RNA